AGGGCAUCAACUUGAUUUCCUCUGCUGUCUUUGAAUUGAUUCCUUUUGUAUAUGUGGGUACAUGUUGGAAUGGUGGUACAGCACCAGGAGCUUGUCUUUCUUCAUGUGGGUGUGUAUUGCUUGCAGAUAGCAGGACUCAUGAUUCUCCACGAAUCUACUUCUCGGCACAUAGUUACAGACUUGAUCAUGCUACACCCUUUUCAACGCUCUCUAGCAGCUGAUGAGUUGAUGAGAGACUCUUAAUUUGGCAGCAUCAGCCUUGAUGACAACGUGUGUUGGAACAAAGCAAGUGGCUUGCUGUGUAGAUGCCUGACACUGGAUUUAAUAGCAGGGCUUUACAUCGCUGGUUCGUCCUCAGAGCAGUGUCUGAAUAAAAGGGAGCACGGACAGAGGAAAAGUGGAGCACUAGUGUAGGGAUCCACACUGCGCAGAGCUAUGGACCCGCACUCCCCGUCUCUCUCCUCGCUCUCUCUCUCUCUCUCUCUCUCUCUCUCUCCCUCUAUCUCUGUCUGCAGCCGUUGCCAUGGUGACCAUCCGAAAGGUACGCUCCAUUGUUGUCAGCCGUGGCCUCAUUCACAGAGUCCUGUUCAAAAAGGGAGAAAAAUGCAGUCACCACCUAUGGCUGGGACGCCCGGCUGUGUGGGAGAAAUGAGUGGCUCAUGCGCAGGACACGCAUCAUCACUCCACAGAUAAGCCCCUGAUUCAGUGCUACAAGUGCGGGGAGCCAUGUAAGGGCGAGGUGCUGCGGGUGCAGAACAAGCACUUCCACCUUAAGUGCUUCACCUGUAAAGUGUGCGGCUGUGACCUUGCCCAGGGGGGCUUCUUCAUGAAGAAUGGAGACUAUCUGUGCACGCUGGACUACCAACGCAUGCACGGGACCCGCUGCAAUGGCUGUGGGGACUUUGUGGAGGGGGAAGUGGUCACUGCCCUGGGCAAGACCUACCACCCCGCCUGCUUCGUCUGCACCAUCUGCAAACGGCCGUUCCCUGCCGGCGACAGGGUGACCUUUAAUGGGAAGGACUGUCUGUGUCAGUACUGCGUCGAGCCCAUGUCGCCGGGACCGAAGGACAUCCUGGGCUCCAGCAAUUGCGCAGGAUGUGGUCGAGACAUUAAGAACGGCCAGGCUCUCCUAGCACUGGACAAACAGUGGCAUCUAGGGUGCUUUAAGUGCAAGGCCUGCAGCAAAGUGCUCACUGGGGAAUACAUCAGCAAGGAUGGCGCCCCCUACUGUGAGAAGGACUACCAGAUCCAUUUUGGAGUUCAGUGCGAGGCGUGUCAUCAGUUCAUCACAGGGAAGGUGCUAGAGGCGGGAGAUAAGCACUACCACCCCAGCUGUGCGCGAUGCAGCAGGUGCAAUCAGAUGUUCACGGAAGGGGAAGAGAUGUAUCUGCAAGGGUCGACAGUUUGGCAUCCUGGCUGCAAGAACACCACCAGAACGGAGGAGAAACACAGGGAGCGGCUAUUGCCUCCGUCCCUCUCAUUCCUCCAAAAAACAGAAAGGCAGCCGACGAGGUCGUCGUCUGAGAGUAUUUGUUCCAGACCUGGUUCAAGCAUACCUGGCUCACCGGGUCACACCAUCUAUGCAAAAGUAGACAAUGAGAUCCUUGAUUACAGAGACCUAGCUGCCAUUCCAAAAGUCAAAGCCAUUUAUGAUAUUGAGCGCCCCGAUCUUAUUACCUAUGAACCCAUGUACACCACCUCCCUGGACGAGCAAGAGGAGAGGCGAGAGAGUGUGGGAGAGCUCCACACUGCCAGGAGGGAGCGCUCCCCGUUGCCGGAUGACAAGUCCUCCAAAAACAUGUCGCCAACCACAUUUGGUGAGGGCUCCUAUGACAGGAGAGAGCGCAUCCUCCAAAGGUCCACCAGUCAAGGCUCCAUAGGAUCACCGGUUUAUAAUCGCCAUGGUUACACCCCCACCCUGUCACGGUCUCCGCAGCAUUUUCACAGGCCAGAGAUUCUGACAGGCAUGCAGAAGCUCUGCUCCUCCCUGUGCAGUAACAGUGUGGGCUCCAGAAAUAGUGACUCCCGCCCCACCUCCCCUUUCAGACACCACUUCCUCCCCCAUAGCCAAGGCACUGACCCGCCGAGUGGCCGGAGCUCCCCUCUCCCGCUCAGGCCCGACAGCCGGCCGGUCACCCCGCCUCUCUCUCUGACCCCUAAACAUUUCCACCUCCCAGAUCAGGGGAGCAACAUCUACAGAAAACCACCCAUCUACAAACAACAUGAUACAACUGCUGUAGCACGUCAGAGCAAGUCCGCUGAUGACAUCAUCAGAUCCGCCACCUUCCCCGCUGCCCAUGCUCCCUCUCUGGAUGACGGCUCGCGGAGUGAGGGCGACCGUUGGCCCUGCUCGCUCGCUGCUUUAGGUUCAGAACCGAGAAGACAAUCCAGAGAGGAGGAGGAGGAAGAGGCCUUGAAACGAAAGCAACUGCAGGAGGAGCAUCUCAGCAAGAUUCAGUCUGGGUUAGGAAAGCUCAUUUUGAAGGAGGAGAUGGAAAAAGAGCAGAUCAGAGAGCGUCACGCUCGCAGCCUCUCUGCUCAACGCUACGACCCCAAACAGACCAACUAUGAUGCAGAUGCUACUUCUCCAACUAAAACUAACUCUCUGCCUGGGUAUGGAAGGAAUGGGCUGCAUCGGCCCCAGUCAACAGAUUUCACCCAGUACAACAGCUAUGGCGACAUGUGUGGGGGAGGCAGAGAGUUUCAGGUAUGUCCCUCAUCUGCUUUUUCACAUGGCAUGCUUCCUCACCUUGCAUCAUACAUAUUUGCUUGCACACGGGUUUGCGAGAGGUACUUUGCCCUUGAAUGCACCACGCCCCACCCCUGCUAGAUGCUUGCAUCACCUCUGGAUUCACGUCAACUACGGGGCCGGCGGUGCUGUGGCAUGGAGUGAUCCUUGAACAUGCACUCGCCCCGUAGUUGAACCCGUCUACUGUAAAUGCAGUGUACAACCAUCGCCUCAUGUCUUGUUCCAUGUGUUGUUUACCAAUGUUUGGACUCAAGCUGAGUUUUACAGUUAAAUAUAUGACAUUUUGUUUUUACUUCACCAUAGAAAAAUCCCUACAAAUACAUUCAGAAAACAUCAGCCCAUCUGGAGAUACUGAAUUCUAGCCAAGCUCCAUCCAGUGAACACUGUGCCCACUGUCAUUAGUGGACAUAUUCAUGCCAUCACUUCCACUAUAUUAUAUUUGUGUAUGUUCUAUUCUUUAGCACAUUAAGGAUGGCCGUGCAGCACUUGCAAGGAUGGACAGGGGAGUAUCUAUGCCUAAUAUGUUGGAACCAAAAGCAAGUAUCUUCUCCUUUUUGUACUAAUAACCACACUGUAAUCUACACUUCAAUAUUCAUAGUUAUACACUUAUUUACAGCAACUAGCUGAGAUCAUUCAACUAAGAAAAACAAAUCCUCCCUAAUGAGAUUAACUGAUCAGCAGGUGGCGUUUAACCUUCAUAGAGCAGGGACGUUGGUGGAAGAAUAUAUACAUAUAUACAUAUAUACAGUAUAUAUAUGAUAUAUAUAACACGUCAUCUUUGCUGGAAGUGAAAAACUCACCUCGCAUGCUGCUUCAGGAGCUGCGAGUCGCUGUAGCGCUAAGCAUGCUGGCUUCUCCAUGUUCAUCUGCAUAUAGCGUUUACCUACUGUAGAGUGGCUGGAUGCUGUAUGAGACAUACAGUGAAGGGAUCCAGUGUCAUCCAAACAACUCAUAUCACUAUAUACUAUGUAGUAUAUACGUCCUUAUGUGUUGAUAUGAGUUGUUUCAAGGCUUUAUGUAGCUUAUUAAUGAGCAUUUCUACCAAACAUAAUUACCAUUUGUCAGUUUCGUCUUGUGCAGGAGGGAUUAGUUAUGUAGGAAAGUAGACGGCCUUAGUUUUCCAGGACAUUCAUUCCCAUGUGGAUUUACCCGGCCUACAUUACUGAUGUUAGUUCCUUAUUUUAGUUUGCUUUAAAUUUUUCAAAAAGUGAGUUACAUACCUGAGUUUUUCAUGUUCCUGCCCCGAUCUACUGCACGUUGUUACACCAAGCGAAGUGUGCUCACCACAGCGCCCUGCAUUUCCUCAACAACCUACUGUAAUGACCAGCUCUCACGCCCUGUCACACACCUGUUCUCCCACCUAGUUUUCCCUAGUUUUGUCACGGUCAGAAUUACAAAAAAAACUAAACAAAUUAAUUGUUGCUUGACAAAGGUGGUCUGACUCCAGUUUGUAGGUUUGACCUGUUCACUGAUGAAUGUCUUCUUCUGAAGGUGUAUCCCUAUGAAAUGCUCAUGAUAACCAGUAGAGGGAGAGCUAAACUGCCCAGGGAUGUGGACAGAACCAGACUGGAGCGCCACUUAGCACCUGAAACGUUCUUUGACAUCUUUGGAAUGGAGAUCCAGGAGUUUGACAGGCUCCC